rnacentral:rRNA from 1 species
AUGCCCACCAAUGGCCUCAAGCUCAACGGGAUGUGUGCUGCGCCCGGCCCGUGGAGCAGUUUCGUCUUCCCAGUCGAGUCACAGGAUUCGAUGAGUGUCCCGAACGUCGUGUUUGGCGCCGGCGGCAGUGCACAGGCAGGCGUGGAGGCGGCGGCGGGCGAGGUGUGCUCUGAAGCCACCAGUGGCUGGAGACGCAGGGGUGUUGCCGGGCUGGCGGGGUGGAUUGGUUCCGUUCUACCAGUGGACUCCCAGGAUUCGAUGAGUGCCCCCAUUGUCGAGAUGGACGCGGUCGGCAAAGCACAGCCAUAA